GAACUUUUGAUAUAUCAACCUCUGGGACUUUGAUAAAAACAUAAAAAAAAUAAAGAAGCAAGUCAUGCUGCUGGUCUUUAACGCAGAGAUUCUUGACACUAAUGUUAUCAUGGGUGAGAAAAACAGCACCAUAAGAAAGGAGGAAACUAGCUGUAC